UCUCCUGCCUCAGCUUCCUGAGUAGUUGGGAUUACAGGUGCCCGCCACCAUGCCAGGCUAAGUUUUGUACUUUUAGUAGAGAUGGGGUUUCAUGUUGGCCAGGCUGGUCUCCAACUCCUGACCUCGGGUGAUCCUCCCACCUCGGCCUCCCAAAGUGCUGGGAUUACAGGGGUAAGCCACUGCGCCUGGCCUAAAGAUCUAUUUUUUAAAAGAAGCUCCUUAGCCACGCCUUACAAAAAGAGAGUCUACAGAUAUUAGCAAGGGACCCAUGGAUGCCUCGCCUAAAAGCUGAUGAAAUAAAUAAUUCAAAAACCUGCUUUAAAGAUUUGGCGAUAGACACCGAAGGAAACAACGGAAUCAAAAGUGGAAAAAGUUUAAAACGUGGCAGCAGCGAUCGGGAGUUACUUUUUGCCAUUUUUGAAAAUAAACAGACGCUGUCUAAAGUUGAAGAGGCGAUAUCCAGAGCUGUAGAACAAAUCGCCAACACUGCAAAAGUAACAUCGCAGCAGAAGAUCGAAACCGAGAGUUGCGGCCGCGGCGGGACACACAAUGUGCCGGAGUCGCUAAAUCAAGAAACCGCCCUCCGAGGCUUCUGAUUCGCUGAUUCUGCGAGGGGCCUGCAGGCCGGAAGACGGCAAAUCCAGCCACGGUAAAGAGCGGCCUAGCCUUCCCCGGGCGGGGGCGCCCACGAGUUGGCUUGCAGCGUUUGGCAGGGGUUUUGGAUGGCGGCCUCCGCGGACGAGCGCAGGGGUGGAGAAGCCUGGGCGUUCGAACACCUACUUCCAAAGCGAAGCCCUUCCAGAUUUAGGGCUUUCUAACGUGCAUUUGUAUAACUUUGGGUUUAAAGGAGCCUCAGGCCGCGGGAGGGCCCGGGAAAGGGAAGCUGCGGGUUACGGGACUCCCAGGGACCCGCCCCUCCGGGCAGGGCCUGGCGCGGGAAUCCUUCCCGGGGCGCCCAGGCUGCAGGCGAGAACGGGACUGACGCUUGGCUCCCGACCUCGGUCGCCUACCUUUCCCGGCGCUCACCUGGCG